UACGUAGGGUGCAAGCGUUAAUCGGAAUUACUGGGCGUAAAGCGUGCGCAGGCGGUUUUGUAAGUCUGUCGUGAAAUCCCCCGGGCUUAACCUGGGAAUUGCGAUGGAGACUGCAAGGCUAGAAUCUGGCAGAGGGGGGGUAGAAUUCCACGUGUAGCAGUGAAAUGCGUAGAGAUGUGGAGGAACACCGAUGGCGAAGGCAGCCCCCUGGGGUCAAGAUUGACGCUCAUGCACGAAAGCGUGGGGAGCAAACAGG
rnacentral:rRNA from 1 species